UCAAGAAACUUCCACAAUGGGCGAAAGCCUGAUGGAGCGACGUCGCGUGAUGGACGAAGUGCUUCGGCACGUAAACAUCUUUUAUGUGGGAUGAAAUUAUUGACAGUACCACAUGAAUAAGGGGCUCCUAACUCUGUGCCAGCAGGAGCGGUAAUACAGAGGCCCCAAGCGUUAUCCGGAAUCACUGGGCGUAAAGGGUGUCGAGGCGGUCGUAUUAGUCGUUCGUAAAAUCUACGAGCUUAACUUGUAGGCGGCGAACGAAACGGUACGACUUGAGGUUUGGAGAGGUGCGUGGAACUCACGGUGUAGGGGUGAAAUCCGUUGAUAUCGUGGGGAACACCAAAGGCGAAGGCAGCGCACUGGCCAAAAUCUGACGCUCACACACGAAAGCUAGGGUAGCGAAGAGGAUUAGAUACCCUUGUAGUCCCUGAG
rnacentral:rRNA from 1 species